ensembl:lncRNA
UCCAGCGCGAGGUUUUCAUUAAUUUUUAAGUGCAGCCCGUAAAACAGAACGAGCCGCUCAAAGGUAGGGCCGCGUUACCGAGCGCCGCCUCACCGCGCGAUUUACGAACGGAGGUUGGGAAAGAAGGUGGCCCAUGACACUUGAACACUCUCUUUCUGGGGCCUCACCCUCACUUGCAGCAAUGCUGGUAGAAGGGAUCUGGGUCAGAAAGAUCCACGGUGACCCCGCCCCUCUGCUGGGAUUUUGGUCUGCCAGGAAAUAAAGGGUCCAGAAAGAAGAAGUGUGGCCCUGUGAGGGCACGGCACAGCUCCUGGCGUUGGGAGUGCUGCUGUGUGGUCUGACUACAAACUCACCCUGGGAAGCACUGGACCUAGGAGGAUGUGCCCUUUUCCCCAGGAUAGAAGAAUGCUGGUGGAGCAACUGAUUGGAAGAUUAAGCUGCUGCCAAAUUAGUCCUGCCAGUAACUGAUUUAUUCUCCAAUGGAUAACUUAUUCCAGCUCCUGAAAUCUGCUGCAUGGAUCCAAGGGGUGGUUUGGCUCAGAAGAGGCAGUGUGAUCAGCCUCUGAGCUCCAUAUAAAAAGUACGAAUCUGAUGCUG